rnacentral:rRNA from 1 species
GAGUUUGAUCGUGGCUCAGAUUGAACGCUGGCGGCAUGCCUUACACAUGCAAGUCGAACGGCAGCACGGGAGCUUGCUCCUGGUGGCGAGUGGCGAACGGGUGAGUAAUGCAUCGGAACGUAGUCCUGGAGUGGGGGAUAACGUAGCGAAAGUUACGCUAAUACCGCAUAUUCUGUGAGCAGGAAAGCGGGGGACCUUCGGGCCUCGCGCUCUUGGAGCGGCCGAUGUCGGAUUAGCUAGUUGGUGAGGUAAAGGCUCACCAAGGCGACGAUCCGUAGCAGGUCUGAGAGGAUGAUCUGCCACACUGGAACUGAGACACGGUCCAGACUCCUACGGGAGGCAGCAGUGGGAAUUUUGGACAAUGGGGGCAACCCUGAUCCAGCCAUGCCGCGUGAGUGAAGAAGGCCUCGGUU